CAACAUUUGGGGGCUCGUCCGGGAUCUGCGCUCACCCCGCUUCACUCCCGAAGUCGCUCUUGGAGGAAGAGAGUUUAAAAACUUUUAGUGACUGUUUUUGUAUUCCAUGGCAGUAUGUUUAUUUGCACGAGUUUAGUAAGAAUCUGCUUUCCUUGUGAGAAGACUAAUUAAGAACACUGGUUAUACUGCCAAGGCUUUGGCUGGAAUGUCAUACCUGAGAGACAUGUGCAUGGACUCAGAUGUGAACAACUUUAAAGAACUAAGAUUGACUUUAUAAAGCCAACAAAGCCCCUUAGAAGAACUAGCCUGGUACCUUGCUUGCAGAGUUCCCAGCAGCCUUACCAGAAGCCACAAAACUGCAAAUAGUAAUAGAAACAAAACCCAAGAUAGAAGCGCCAGCCUUCUGAAGCCCUCUCAACUGACCAGUGAUAGAGACCUAGCUGCACCCUUUACUGCGCCCCCCUUCUCAGCACGAAGCAGCCAGAGCGGUCAUCGCCCCUUUUCCCUAGCAGCAGCUAGAGUCUCUACCUGUAGAAGAGAAAAUGAGACAAAGACCAU